UCCUGUCGAUCACUCUAAAAAAAUGUUCCUGUCGAUCUCUCAUCUCCCGAGUCCUCGACCUAGGUUUCGAUGAGCCGCCGCCAUCACCGACACCGCCGUAGACCGCGUCCUGGUCUGGCUUCUUAGCCCUUGUUCGCCGCACGACCCGGCAGCGCGUCCUCGCUUCUCCCUCCUCCGGUCCUCCUUCCUCCACAUCCAGCGGGGCCUCCUCCCUAUUCGCCCACGGCCUCCUGUACCUCGUCGCCGUCCGCCGGCUGCUCGCCCACCGCAUCCUCGCCCAGCACCUCGUGUAGCCAUAUCCCAGAGCUCGAAGACGCCACCCGGUGCCGGCGCACUUAUAAUAGCCACGACGGCUGGCCAUGAGGAGGAGGAGGAAACCCUCGGCCACGGAUUCGAGCGCUUCGAUGCUGCCAUAGCCGUGGCCUCCGAGCAUAAAUGUUGAAAGCCACAUAAAUAUCCAACACCAAGCUCCUCAUGUGGGACUGCGCUCAGAUGGACCUUGCUGCCACCGUCUCUUUAGGGGAACAGGUCUGUGAAGGAAAGGAAAAGAAAAGGAAUAAGCUGCAGUAAAAUUUUGUCAAAUCACCACUUUGAGAAGAAGAGGCCGGUGCAGGCGCUCAUGGACCAGUUCGGCCUGCAGGACCUGGCCAAUACCGUGUCAAGUGUUGGUGCGUGUCCGCAUGGACACCAUCGACACACAUAGGAACGGUUCGGUUCAGCAGCAGCAAGCACAUCCAGCAGGUGCGACCUCCAUGCUCGGGUGACAACAACGACCAGCAUCGUAGAACAACAAUCCGCUUCUACUCACCUUGCCUCUGCCCCCUUGCUACAGUUCCAUGCUUUGAUAAUGCAUUAAUACAGCCAUGCAGGGAAAACAAAUAGGAAAAUUGACGUUGCUCUCCACACGGAAGCCUACAAUCAUGAACUUUUCCAAUUUUGCAAAGUUUGGAGAUGAUUGAAAUCUGCAUGCAUAGAAGCAUUUGAAGUAAAUCAGGUUUGAAUGGUAGGUACCAUAUGGUAGGAAAUAUGUUAGGUAUGGUGGUCUUCCUGAGAUGCAUAUUUCAUCAUAAGCUGCCCUGAAAGAAGUACUAAUAUGUAGUCUCAAGUAAGAGCUUACUCUUAUGCAAGUAAAAGCUGGUCACAACAUUCUAAUUUGUGAUGACCUGCAACAAUAUUCAAGAAAGAGAGAAUCCACUCGAGUAUUAACUGCACUGCUGCCUAUUCAAUCAAACCAAUCGUUGUUACCUCUAAAUGUUUACAUUAUAUGACAUUUUGUGUCUACACUGCAAAUAAGGAAGAGUUCAGCAUGAUUGAGCAUUUGAGCAUAUUAAAGAAGUCCAACCGUGGUGCUUAAUUCAUUCUAUAUUUUUUUGGGUAAUCAUGAAUUUCAUCUUAUGAUCUGCACUAAUAACAAAUGCACCAGCUCAGAUUUUUUCCAUCUACAGAACUACUCCCUCCGUUCCAAAUUACUCGUCGCAGAAAUGGAUGUAUCUAGAACUAAAAUACAUCUAGAUACAUCCAUACCCACGACAAGUAAUUCGGAACGGAGGGAGUAUUAAAGUAAAGAUAGCCUAUUGUUGGGAAGAAAUGCUAACAUAUUGGAUUCUUAUAGCAUCAUAGAGAGCAGGUGGGGCUCCCCAAGCCAUGAUAGCAUGCAGCGUCAAGGGCCUGCAGUUUUUUCCUUCAGUUCUUGCAACAGCAAGGUCAUUGUCUACAACUAUCUUUAAUUUGUACAUCUAUUGGAAGAAAAAUCUGAACUUACAUCCCCUGCUAAGCCUGAUAUGGUGUUCCUGCACAGUUUGUAGAUCUUGGUCAGUUUCUGCAUGUUUUGUUGAUUUUUUUCUUCAACAUUAUACAUGACCACAUGCAGAAUAUAGAUACAACUCUCAAGGUAAUUUCUCUUUGUUAUGUACUGCAAAUUAUUUUGUGUGAUAAAGUAACCAUUUGGAAAAAUCAGAAGUCCACACGCUUGUCAUAAAAAGAUAACUACGAACCUUACUUCAUAUGUUAUCGACAAUGAAAGCAGUGGUUGAAGCUCAUCUAGAACUGUGAAGUUUAUCCUUGAGAAAAACUUGUGUCAUCUGCCCAGCUGUUGUGGCGCUACUCAUCCUUGUUUAGUUAGGCAACUAACCAAUAAUGUGUUGCUACUUGCUAUGCACAAGAUAUAUCCACUUUUGAAAAAUGUGAUGUUGCAUUCUUGUGAUCUGGCGUCUUCCUUUGGACUUGCAUGAUGUUGUAGUACCCUUAAUUCUCUUAUCUGUAUUGUAGACCAUUGCGAAAUAUAUUAUUCAUGUUGCACUUGCAUGAUGUUGUAGUACCCUUAAUUCUCUUAUCUGUAUUGUAGACCAUUGCGAAAUAUAUUAUUCAUGUUGCACUAUUGCUCAUGUGUUUAGAGUUUAGACAGAAUAUAUGUGAACAUGUUUAGCUGAUGUGCUAAAAAUGUUUGUGUUGAUAAUAACUGCUUAUUCAUCAUAUAAAAUAAAAACACCAUAUGCCACUUAAAUCCUAACAGGGGAAGCUAUACUCAGAUGGAAACAAUUCAUGUGCCUCUUUACAUAGAUAGCCAUUUCUAUUAAUUAUAUCAAAUUGAGUGGUUUUAGUGGACAGUAUUAGAACCAGAUUAGCGGCAUAGAUCGAUACAAUUAUUUACACAUAUCUCUUAGAGAUUUAAUAUUUUUUUUAAUCGAGGUUACUUGUGUGAGUUAUUUGUUGUUAAAAGACUAAUGUGAUGAUACACUUGUAUGUAUAGGGAUGUAUUUCUUUUUUUGCGGGAAAUAUGUUUACUGAUGUAAACUUGCACCACACCCAUGUAAUACAAAUAUAUGUGUACAUGUACACUAUACUAAAUAGCAUACGACCUUGUGUCUCCUAAGAGAAGCAUUGCUAUUUGUUAAGUAUGGUGCAGAAAUUCAUGUUUAUUUUCUUUUUAUUAUUCAGUUGCUCAGUUUCGUAACAAAUGUACAUCAAAGCUUGAUAUCUAACCUAAGUUGAGUUUGUCUGUC